CAGUAACCGCGGGAAUACGUAGGUCCCGAGCGUUGUCCGGAUUUAUUGGGCGUAAAGCGAGCGCAGGCGGUUAGAUAAGUCUGAAGUUAAAGGCUGUGGCUUAACCAUAGUACGCUUUGGAAACUGUUUAACUUGAGUGCAAGAGGGGAGAGUGGAAUUCCAUGUGUAGCGGUGAAAUGCGUAGAUAUAUGAAGGAACACCGGUGGCGAAAGCGGCUCUCUGGCUUGUAACUGACGCUGAGGCUCGAAAGCGUGGGGAGCAAACAGGAUUAGAUACCCGCGUAGUCCCUGUCUCUUAUACA
rnacentral:rRNA from 1 species